GCAUUAAUUUAUGCAUUUGUCUUUUUUUUUUUUUUUUUUCGUUUUUUAUGGGGUGUGCUCCUGUAGUACUGGUACCACUGUAAGGUACAAUAAGUCAGAAUUAUGGGGUGUGCUCCUGUAGUACUGGUACCACCGUAAGCUACAGUGACACUGGGCAGAAGUGGGUCCUACAUGAUGUAUUCACGACAUCCAACCUGUCCAUCGGAGCUGUCACCGCUGGGUACCCCCGGGGCCCAAAAAUCAGCCCACACGGAAACUCAAGUGGGCUGCAACACAGGGAACAAGUUGAGAGGGGAUGUCCACCCUUGAUUUGCAUGGGGCAGUAAUGGCCGUUAUGGGGCGUAACGGCCAUUACGGCUCCUGUGACGGUUGAUUUGAGCCAAAAACUGGGGGGUCACCGUUUCGACCCCUGUAUCGCAUAAUGGACUUGGCCGUUACUGUUACGUAUUAGGUAUUAUGGUCGAUAUGUAACUGAUUUGGUACACCUUGCAUGUGGGCCACACCACAGGAAACAGUGGUGAUUGAGCGCCCACCAUUAAAAACUUCUUGGGGGUGACAAAAGUUUCGGAUGAAGCUAAUAUUUGUGUUUUCCCUUCAACCAGGUAUGUGUCACCUAAUCAACAGGUUUGAUGGCAAAUAAACAUUAUAGUGGGCCUUAGGAAGUUUUUAAUGGUAGGCAUUGAGUCACCAUUGUUUUCUUGUGGUGUGGUCCACUUGCAAUUUGGAUCUGCCUCAUUUUAGGGUUCACCCUAAAAUAAUAUGAAAAAAUAGAUGGACAGCAUAGACAAAACAAAUACAUCAUGGUGGGGCCCACAAAGCGCCGUCCAGUAGCCACCAUGCUACUGGUAGCGUCAAUAGUCAAUCUGCAUCCCAUUUUUCGAGCAUUCCUCGGGCUCGGGCCCUAUAUGAGGAUUCCGGGCUGGACUAUUUGGGCCCAUCACAGACCUGGGUCGGAUUUGGGCUUAGGCUAAAUAAUGUGGGCGGGGUGUGGACAGAGCUUGGCCCGGCCCAUUUACACCCCUAACUGUAAGUUUAUGGUGUUAGUGCCUAGUGGUAGCACUGGAGCACACCUCUCAUAUCAUUUGGUUGGUAGGUCUUUAAUGCUUCGUUGAAACAGAUCAUCAUAAUCCUCCCUUUGAAAUGUUGAACUCUUAAAACCAUUACUAAUCCAUUUGAAUCAGGUGGAGAGUGGAUAUCUUGGGAUGCUGAUUCUCAAUCUUUGUGAGAUGAGAUGUUAAUACAAGUGAUGAAUGAUGAAAUUUUGCUUUGAUAUUAUUCAGCUAUCAUCUACUUUUGUUUCUAAACUUUAAGUUCUUAUACUGAUAAAA